CAGUACCUACGGGGGGCAGCAGUCGGGAAUAUUGCGCAAUGGAGGAAACUCUGACGCAGUGACGCCGCGUGCAGGAAGAAGGUUUUCGGAUUGUAAACUGCUUUAGACAGGGGAGAAAAAAGACAGUACCUGUAGAAUAAGCUCCGGCUAACUACGUGCCAGCAGCCGCGGUAAUACGUAGGGAGCAAGCGUUAUCCGGAUUUAUUGGGAGUAAAGGGUGCGUAGACGGGAAUGCAAGUUGGUUGUGAAAUCCCUCGUCUU
rnacentral:rRNA from 1 species